rnacentral:rRNA from 1 species
UACGUAGGGUGCAAGCGUUGUCCGGAAUUAUUGGGCGUAAAGAGCUCGUAGGCGGUCUGUCGCGUCUGGUGUGAAAAUCCAGGGCUUAACCCUGGACCUGCAUCGGGUACGGGCAGACUAGAGUGCGGUAGGGGAGAUCGGAAUUCCUGGUGUAGCGGUGAAAUGCGCAGAUAUCAGGAAGAACACCCGUGGCUAAGGCGGUUCUCUAGUACGGUACUGACGCUGAGACGCGAAAGCGUGGGGAGCGAACAGG